rnacentral:rRNA from 1 species
UGGGGAAUUUUGGACAAUGGGCGAAAGCCUGAUCCAGCAAUGCCGCGUGUGUGAAGAAGGCCUUCGGGUUGUAAAGCACUUUUGUCCGGAAAGAAAUCCUCUGGGUUAAUACCUCGGGGGGAUGACGGUACCGGAAGAAUAAGCACCGGCUAACUACGUGCCAGCAGCCGCGGUAAUACGUAGGGUGCAAGCGUUAAUCGGAAUUACUGGGCGUAAAGCGUGCGCAGGCGGUUUUGUAAGACGGAUGUGAAAUCCCCGGGGCUUAACCUGGGAACUGCAUUCGUGACUGCAAGGCUAGAGUAUGGCAGAGGGGGGUAGAAUUCCACGUGUAGCAGUGAAAUGCGUAGAGAUGUGGAGGAAUACCGAUGGCGAAGGCAGCCCCCUGGGCCAAUACUGACGCUCAUGCACGAAAGCGUGGGGGAGCAAAACAGGAUUAGAUACCCCUGGUAGUCCACGCCCCUAAACGAUGUCAACUAGUUGUUGGGGAUUCAUUUCCUUAGUAACGUAGCUAACGCGUGAAGUUGACCGCCUGGGGGAGUACGGUCGCAAGAUUAAAACUCAAA